CCUGGGAGUUAGGAACUCUAAAUAUUUUCACUGGAAGAGAAGCUGCCCUCCAGUUGUGCUUUAUUAGCGGCUAUUCAUCAAGGACCUGCAUAUCAAGGCCUACAAGAGUGAUGCCACAAGCAGCAGCACCAGAUUUUCUCACCCUUUCUACCUUUCUUGACUUUAGUAUUUAUUCUGUCUCAAAUGAUGCUGCUUCACUGAACCCAACCUGAAACAACCUGUUGGAAAGAAAUGUAAUCGCACUUCAAAAUUUGUCACAGAAGAAGUGAUGUAUCAGCCUACGAAAAUACUAUCUGCUCUCUGCUGUUGCAGGCCCAUCCUUCUUCCAUCCACUUGAAAAGUAAUUGUCCCCAAGAACCAUC